rnacentral:rRNA from 1 species
GAAGUUGCUUACUUGCUAAUUUAUUCGUUGAUAAGGAUGAGUGGCAUUACUUGUGUUUGUGGCGACGUUUUAUGUAGGCCGUUUUGGUUGGGGCAACCGCGGAGAAUAUGUAUCCUCCGCUGGGUUCGAUAAGUAAAAUGAUGGUUUUCUUACUUGUUAUGUUUGUGUGAUCCGCUGUUUGGGCGAGCAAAAGAACAAGUUACCGCAGGGAUAACAGCGUAAUUCUUUUAGAGAGUUCAUAUUGAUAAGGGAGUUUGCGACCUCGAUGUUGGAUCGGGAUUUCCUGGGGGUGCAGCAGCUCCCGAGGGUUGGUCUGUUCGACCAUUAAAAUCCUACGUGAUCUGAGUUCAGACCGGCGGGAGCCAGGUCAGUUUCUAUCCUCGAUUAUUAGAAAAAGCUGUCUUUAGUACGAAAGGAUUAGGAGGGCGGCGCCCAUGCUUGAAAGUAGGCGUUAAAAAUGGAUAUG